UGUUGGGGCUGAUCACAAUGGCUCUGAUGGACCCGCCCCUGGAAUUCAUCCUCUGUCUGGGCCCCGCCCACUCUGGCCACGUGACUCACUUCAACCAAUACAGCAGCGCACAAGGGAUGCUGCGCCAAUUCUGGGGCUAAGCCUUCCUUAAAGGUGUUUUUGCACUUUGGGGAACCCUGAGCUGCCAUGUUAAAAGUCCAGCUACCUGGAGAGAUGCCAUGAAGAGGUCACGUUGAGCGGGAGAAGCCCUGAGGCUACACAGGGAGAGAAGGAGAGACAGACGGACAGAGAGAGAAGAGAGGCAGGGAGCCCCCGCGGAGCCCUCUCCAUCACUCCAGUUGUCCCAGCCUUGGGACAGGGGUUGCUGACCCAGAGCCUCCGUUCUGAAUGACCUGAAGCUCACGAUACACAAAUUCCCACUCGACGAGCGUCUUUUCUGCAGAGAGCUCCUUUCAGAGGGUACUGAAGGUCAGCGGCUGCAGUAGCACGUGACUCAUCCUUAUAGAGGGAGAUGUGUGCUCAGCCGCUCAGUCAUGUCCGACUCUGGACCCCACAGACUGCAGCCCGCCAGGCUCCUCUGUCUCCAGGAUUUUUCAGCCACUCUCACGUGUGGAUGGCAUCACGGACUCAAUGGACAUGAAUCCGAGGGAACUCCAGGAGACAGUGAAGGACAGGGAAGCCUGGCGUGCUGCAGCCCACGGUCAGAGUCGGACGUGACUCAGCGACUGAACAAGAACCACAAAUGCAUGUGUGGUGGUACGGUCGCUGCUGGGAC
ensembl:lncRNA